UUCGUUCUUAAUACUUAAUUGAAGGAAUCUGUCGAAUAUGUUGAUUACUUUAAUGCUGUCAUUAUCAAUAGCCUCUAUUAUACUUAUCUCGCGCAGAUAUCUAGAUUGAAAAGACAAAAUUAGUCAUGUCACUCGAGAUAACAUUAACGACAAUAUAAUAAUAGUAGCGAUAAUAUUCAUAUUACGCGAAUCGCAUGACAUUUGCUCGCAUAUUCUACAAUUUGCCUUACAAUUUAAUUCCCUUGUGCAAUUUACGCUGGGCUCAAUUAACGGGGGGCCAAUUAAUUGUUCCGAAUUACAAUUCCUAAUUUCUUGAUCCUAUUUCGAAUAAUUUAAAUAGAAUAGACUCUCGGAGUCUGCUCUCUCCCUCACCUAUGAUCGCGUAGAAAAAAUCCACCGCGCCGUUAUAAAUCAUGUCACCCGGCUCCACCGCCGUUUGCCACAACAGUUGUAUGUAACUAAUGAUUUGCAGGUAGCCACAGGUAGCCAGAGCCCACCAGAUCGACCACUUGGUCACCCGAUAAUUCGUAUAGGCCUGCAAGAAGUGUUUCCACAGCAAGACAUAAGCAUUCUUGAUCUUACGAAGCAGACGCAUUCCCCACACUCUGAAGCAACGACACUUCGUUGACUCGGUCAACUGAUAAUCGAAUGGUCCCUUGCCUGGCUCGUCGUCGGAAAUGCUGCUGCGAUGGAAGUACAUCGACUGCUUCACGGAAGAUACCUGAAACAGUGAGAUAAUUGAGCUGGUGAUAGUUCAGUAGAUCGAAGGAGGCCGUUAAUUGUGCUAUGACGCCUGACAUGCUGCGACCAAACAGUGCGGCAGCUUUAGUGUGACUUGUCACUUCCUGAUAGUGCGUCUUAUCUACUUUGGCAUAUAUGUAAGUGUAGUAAGCAACCUCUGUAGAGAAAUAUAGGCCGUAAAAAAACUCGAGAAUCUGAAACACCAGCACAGUUCUGCCGAGGAUUAUCAUAAGGAAGGUGACAGUGCCAGAUAGACCGCAGAGUAUGAUGAUAGGCUUGUAUCGAGCAAAGUCUGUGAUCAGGAACACGAAUAUCAAAGUGGCUAAGUAACUAAACUAACUUGUUCAGCUGUGAAAUUUUUCCAUGGACCAGUCAGAUAAUCCGUCACGAAGGAUUCAGAGGGUCGAAAUUCCUUGAAGCACCCGAACAUGCAGAGAAUACAAGAGAUCUUGAGCCAAUGCAUGUUGCAUCUGUAAAGUAUUUGUCUUGCGUUGAAUAAAUCUCAGAUUAUAUAAAAUUCAAGGAAGCUCAUACAUCCCUGCAAAAAA